GGAGUUGCUCUCAAGACUUAUUUUUAGCAAGGAGAGACGAAAAAUGG
rnacentral:sRNA from 1 species